CCCUGCAGUCAUGGAAUUAGUGAAGCCUAGAUACUUAUGACAUAAUACAGUCUCUAAGCCUUUAAAACUAGAAUUUCUUCAAUGAGAGCUAGAUCUUAGUGACCAGCUUAUGGAAGUGGUUGGUCUGGAAGGAGCCAUGGAGAUGGGUCAGAUAUAUACAGGUCUGAAAAGUGCUGGAAGAAGGCUUGCCCAGUGCUCAUCCGUUGUCAUCAGGACCAGCAAGUCUCUGCCGAUGCAGAUAGAUGGGGAACCUUGGAUGCAAACCCCCUGCACGAUAAAAAUUACCCACAAGAACCAAGCCCCUAUGUUGAUGGGUCCUCCUCCAAAAACUGGUCUUUUCUCUUCUAUCAUCAAAAGAACAAGGCACCACAGCAAGGAAUAAGUCUGUGUAGUUUAGUUUUUAGAAAAUCAAUUAGCUUUGUUGGGCUUUGGAAUAUUUAUGCUGGAAAUCUUUCAAAAAUUUUAGAAUAUCUUCUCCUUGCAAAUUCAUGGAUUUUCAUUUAAUAGUUUCUGUAACUGAGCUAAUGUAAAACUAUGCUAUUAGAAAAAAAGUUAUCGUCACAGAUUUGUAGGCAUUUUGCAUGAAGAAAGAUGUUUACAUAAAAUGAUACAGCAUUUUUUUGUUGUUGUUGUUGCAUGAAGUACCAUUUAUUAAUCUAUGGGAUAAUUCUGCCAUGGAAUAUAGGAAGAGAAUGCCAUGGGUAAUUUGAUUUUCUCUCCAUUGCAUUUCUAUUUUUUUGUGUGUGUGCUUUUUUCUAUUAUAAUGAUCAUUUGCAGUAAGUUCAGUAGUGACACUUGAAUCAAAAAUCAUCAGUAACCAAUGAGACCUGCUUCACAGUAAAGUUUAUUACUGGUCUCAUUAACUUUUACUUAUAUUUUGUCAUUUGUUUCUACCCUGAGAAUAUUUUUAUUCAGCUAAGUAUUCAAAUCUUAAAUCUUAUUCUGAUAACUCCUAUGUAUGUAAUUGUACUUGCUGAUAACUUAAAAUUCAAUGUAUGCAAUAUUCAAAUGAUUAUGAUCAUUCUUGUGUAGGUUUUUGCAAGACUUGAAGUCUGAGCAAAAAUUAUCUGGUUAAAGAGAUCAUUUGAAGAUUGAAGAUAAUAGUAUUUGCAAAAGUAGCUAUCAGUGUUAUUUGUUGAAACACUAGAAUCAUUUUAAUGAGCAAUACAUCUCUGGAGCAUGGCAAACUUUAAAUCAUUCUGCAUUAUUGACCAAUAGUAUAGUGUGUAUGCACACAAAUAACCAAAGCUCAUGCUUAAUAAAGUGUGUUUCCCACCAAAGAUUUAAUGAAGGAUACUUCAAAGAAAUGGGUUAAUUCAUAAUUAAUCAAGAUCACUGGAAUAGACUCAGGUCUGAAAAAUUAGAGUUCUUUUGAUUAUGUCGGCAAUGUUCUAACAAAUGUUGGGAUGGGGAAAAAAAAAAAAACACAUUAAAUUGCAAAUAAAUACUCAAUUUUCAUUUAUUUCAUAAGCUGAUAAACACAUUCUAAAUAUUGAAACAUACAUAGUUUAAACAUUGGAAAAUUAAAUAUAUGUCUAAUUUUAUUUUAAUUAUUAUUUAUAUAUCUAUGCUAUCCAUAGUUUACUUGUCCUCUGAAUUAAUAUAUUAAGGAAAGGAUAAACUGGUAUUCAUUUCCCUUUCAUAGUCUAUUGCCUGGAAUAAAAACAUCUCUUGUAAUAAAUUUGGGGAAACAAUUUUUCAGAUUUUUAUUUAGCCCUCUGAGAGACUUCCUAACAGCUUAGAAAUCAUAAUACAGGGAUUUGUCUGAGGUUUGCACAACGCUGUCUAAUGUUGAAGGGAAGUCCAAGAAUGGCAAUUUUUUUUAGUCUUGCAUAUCAACAGGCUCAAUGAAAACUUCUGUUCAGUCUUAACAUUGUUCUUUGCUCAGAGUGAGUUGCUUCUCAUCUCUGCAUGUCUUAAGUUCUCGGAAAUUUCAUCAAAAAAUAACAAAAAAAGAAAAACUUUGCGUGAAGUGCAUGAUUUCCCAUUUUUAUCUAGAUUUUUAAAUGUUAAUGAUUUAUUAAAUCUAUUUUUCUAUUGAUUCAUUCAUCCAUCAAAAAAUAGUAUUUGAUCAUUCUGUAGUGCACGAUACUGUGCAUGUACUUAAAGUUGAUAUAAUUUCUUCUUCAGUUUAAGAGUUCAACAGAAUCCUGAUUUAUAUAGUAGAUGCCAAAAUAAAAGUCAAUAUAUAGUUGGUAAGAAUUAUGAUUUUGAAAUAUACGAUCAGUGUUCUGUAAACAUUAGGAGGUAAAUACUGAUUAAUGUUAUGUUCAGCAGUAGGUAGAAAUAGGGGGUCAAUUAUUUACUGAAAUUAAGAUCUUCUAGUUCCCCAUUCUUGGGUCCAGUGAUGGGUCCAAUUAGUUACCAUACUAGCAAACUCCUUUUUUUCCAGUGCAUUGCAAGCGUACAAACACAAAAGUAUUUGAUGCACUUGACUGCAAAUAUAUAUGAUUAUAGAGGUAACGGCAAAAAGAAGGAACUUGCUGACAUAAUAUUACAUUAAGUGCACAUUGGUUUUAUGAAAUUAUGGUUAUAGGUUAUAUUUUCAGAUAACUUGACAUAGGAUUUUCUACCAAUGCUCUUAACUUUUUGUGGCAAAGAUGUGUUUAAUGAUAAUAUAUAAUGUGUUCUCUGUGAUUAUCUCAUGAACAUUGUAAUUCUGAAAACAAAUAAAAAGAUACAUAAGCUAUUCUUUAAUAAUGUAUGCAAUUUUAAAAGUGCCAGUCUGAAUAGCAAAUUGUUCACAACAUGCUUUUUCAUAUAAAGGGGAAGAGAUGGGUAAUAUUGUAAUUACAAUUACAUACAGUUCUGACUAGUUGUAUAAAAAGUAAAUCUAGAUGUGUUUGUCAGUUUGUAUCAAAUUCUUAUGGUAGCAAAAUAUAAUGGAGCAGCUAUUAUACUACAUAUUGACACACAAUAUUAGUGACAUCCUGUCUGUCUGUAAAUUGUUUAUUUGUUUACAGUGGUGUCUAAUAAUAUAAAACCAUGAUCAAGUUGAAUAUGUUGAUGAAAAGCUUAGAACAUAAAACAUACUAUGACAGGAAAUGCUUGGUGUAAUGAAAGGGAAUUUCUCUUUUUUUUUUUUUUUUUUUCUCCCCCUUUUCUUCCACUUCAAUGUGUGCAGAACUAGCAUUGUUACAUUUUUGUAUAUGUAGUGAAGCUAUGAAUAUAUGUAUGUAUAGAUGAACUGUUCUUAUAUUGACUGGAUAUUAAGAGUAGUAUCUGUAAACCUUCCACAGUUUACAGUAAGGUAUUCUUUAAGGUCUCAUUAAUGGCAUUUACAACAUGAAUGGAAAUUAUAACAAUGUAGAAAUUAUGUCUAGCACUGAAUUGGCAAUUUUUUCAUCUCCCUAGUAGGAUGUUGCAGGUGGCCAAUAUGCUGAGGAAAGCAUCACUUUCAAUUCAGUUCCUAUUAAACUCAGAAUUUGGUGCAGAGACAAAUACAAUGUUACUGCUUUCAAUACUUGCAAGGUAUUUGUAUGUGUACCGUCACAAUUAUUUAAAGCUGGAGAGUUAGAUGUCAUGUUUUGUGCUUAUCGGAGUGUGUAUGCGUACAGUAGAUCAGGUAACAUGCUAAUACACUUAGGACUUCGAUGAUCUAAGAAACAUUUAAUAUUAGUUUCUGAAACAAAUAGAUGCCCUAUAAUAUUGUCUCAUUCUUAUCAACUCUGUUUUAUUACAUGUAAGUCAUAACAAUGAUUACCUAAUAUUCAAAAUUAUAUAUUGCAAAUAAAGUCAACAAGUUCAUCAUAUUUGAAAAUAUCAGUGUAAGAAGUAAUUACAGUCAGAGUAUCUGGGUUUGAUAUUAUAAGAAACUACGAGAAAAACAUCCUUUUUUUUAAGUGUGGUUGAUUUAUUUUGCCGCUUAUGUUGGUUUUAUUUUGUUGGUUUGUUGUUUGUUCUUUUUUUUUUGUAGUUGUUGUUUUUCUUUUAUUGUUGAGACAGUGGAUGUUCAGACAUUUGCAAUAAGCUUGUCUAUUCAUGAUUUGAGAAACUAGCAGUAUUCUGUAAAUUAUUUCAAUCCCAGUUUGUUAGUGGGAGUUAUAACUUUGACAAAGAUCAUAGGCAGGUUCCCUCCUGGGAAGCAGCCACUUUAAAGGAGCGAAGUCCAUCACCUGCCUGAAGAAGACUAAAGGAAAUGGCUGCAAAUCUGGAAAAAAAAAAAAAAAAAAA